AAGCUGGUACAGAACCACAGCCUUCGGUUCCAGCACAGAAAGCCUAAGAUAUAAUUUCACAAAUCCUUACCAGCACAAAAAAAAAAAAGUCUGUUGACUGUUUCAAACCUCUGAGGGAAUGGUGGAAAGGAUUCAUGGCUUUGAAACACUGUCAUUUAACAAGAUAUCAGAACAUGCACUGCAGUAAGACAUUCAGCUACCAGCUCAAAAGGAAGAAGGCCAAAUCACCUUUCCUAUAGCUCUCCUACAAUGCACCCAUUUCACAAGAAUAUCUGCUGCUAUAAUAGCUAAACAUACUUAAUAAUGCCACAAAUAUGGCAGAUCAUAAAUUUUAGGAGUUUUGUUUAUUUUUUCAUAUUUUGAUGCCUUUUGCACUUAUAAGCAAGUGCAAUUUUUUAAUCACUGCAGAAGAUAUUUCAGGAUACUAUUGUUCAUACCAGGCCUUCAUCAGCACCUAAGUAUCACAUAGUUCUUUUCACAGCAUAGCUCUUAAUAUAUUAAUCUCUAAAUGGAUAUAUUCCAACUUCAGUAUGCCCUUAAUUAUCACAGUUUCACAGUUCUGAAAAAAUCUGCACAAGGACUUGGUUUUCUUUAAGUUGAAGCCCAAAGGGUGCCUCUCCUUUUGUCAAUGACUUUAACCUGCUGGAAGCUGCAAGUAUACCUAAGAUACCCGACGUUUCAUUCAUUAUGCUAGUGUAGGAUAUGUCACACACCACAUGUCACACUAGUAUUACAUGUUAGGCAUACAGGAGGAUCACUUCAAUUCAGAGCAGCGUAACAGAACUUUUCCUGUUUGUAACGCUUCACAAUAGGAAAACAGCAUAACACCAAUCAUUUAAAUCCAGUUACUGUAAUUGGUGCUAUCAAUAGACAAUGAAUGAAGCAUUUCUCAGAUCCGCUAGUAUUUUGCUACAUGGGCAAUUCUAUUCUUUAUUAUAUACUGUUCGGUUUUGUUUGUUUUGUUGUGUUCGCUUUGUUUUGUUUUUUAAACAGUUGCCAUGCAAUUAUUUGUCAUUAGCUGCCUUUUACUUUUUAAGGAAACUCCUCUUAAACAAGCAAUAUUUUAGGGAAGACAACCUGAUCAUGAUUAAAAAAUAAAAAUAAAUGAUAAAUAA
rnacentral:lncRNA from 7 species